UGGGGAAUAUUGGACAAUGGGCGCAAGCCUGAUCCAGCCAUGCCGCGUGUGUGAAGAAGGCCUUCGGGUUGUAAAGCACUUUUGUUGGGGAAGAAAAGCACGCAAUUAAUACCUGUGUGUUCUGACGGUACCCAAAGAAUAAGCACCGGCUAACUUCGUGCCAGCAGCCGCGGUAAUACGAAGGGUGCAAGCGUUACUCGGAAUUACUGGGCGUAAAGCGUGCGUAGGUGGUGAGUUAAGUCUGUCGUGAAAGCCCCGGGCUCAACCUGGGAAUGGCGAUGGAUACUGGCUCGCUAGAGUGCGGUAGAGGAGAGUGGAAUUCCCGGUGUAGCAGUGAAAUGCGUAGAGAUCGGGAGGAACAUCAGUUGCGAAGGCGGCUCUCUGGACCAGCACUGACACUGAGGCACGAAAGCGUGGGGAGCAAACA
rnacentral:rRNA from 1 species